rnacentral:lncRNA from 1 species
GAGCUUUCCCAGAGGGUUCUGAACCUGCUCCUCCUCAGUCCAUCCAGCCAACCAGAUUGUGUUUAUGUCAGGACGUUGCCUGAAAUAAAACUGAAGCUUCAUAGUUUAGCCUUUAAUUGUGUUUUAUAGUUUAGCAGUUAUGAAUUCAGUUAAUCUAGUACCUCUGAUUUCACAAGGGAGUAUAAUAACCCUUUUCUCAGUUCAUAGGAAUUUUGUAUAGUUGGUUAAGUCAGAGAUCAAAAUGAGACAAACACUUAUUCAUGUGCAUUUUCCUGGAGUUUAUUGGUGAUCCCAAGUCUCCAGCCUGGAAGGGCUACCUCCUCACGGUGCUGAUGUUCUCUCGGCCUGCCUGCAGACGCUGUUUAAGCAGCAGAACACGUACUGGCUCAAGGUGCUGAAGAUAAGGCUGUAGUAUGCCAUCACUGGCCUGGUGUACAGAAAGGAGAGCAAACGAGGCAGAAGGACUUGUGGGCUCAAUUCACCAGCUCUAUCCUCAGGAACUCGAGGACCAUCAAGUUCCAUGGCUGGGAGGGAGCCUUUCUGGACAGAAUCCUGGGCAUCCGAGGCCAGGAGCUGCGUACCUUGUGGACCUCUGGCCUCCUCUUCUUUAUGUCGCUGGUGUCCUUCCAAGCAUCUACAUUUCUGGUCAUGUCACUCUAGUCUCUAUGCUGAGCAGGACUGGGGAAGGAGUGUGGAACUCAGAAGGUGAGGUAGGUGGAGCCUCCCUGAUCCUACCACCCUGUCCAUCAAAACCCACACAUUCUGGAUCCUAUUCUCUCAGGGUUUCUGCUAUCUUCUGUGUGAAUGAAUUAAUCACAUCAUUCUGGUGA